GAGAAAGAUAAAUAGAACUGCUAAUUCUAAACCCCGUGAGUAAGAGCACGGCUUCCUCG
rnacentral:tRNA from 1 species